rnacentral:lncRNA from 1 species
CUUCAAACAGUUUGUAUUAGAAGGGUGGCUGGGAAAAAUGAAGUCCUUAUGCACGGAGCCACCGCGUUUCACGGCGAUGUUCACCUGGCCCAUGAAGAUCUCCGGACAUAAAACCAGGCAACAAAAUCAGGAUGCAACAGGCUGGAGGGGCAAAGCACAGAAGUGGAAUGGGUCCUGCCAUAGGUGAGGGUUGACAUCCUCUUACACCUGCCGCUUCAUGCUUGUGCUUGGGAUGGUGAUGCGUCCGAUCUUGUGCAGGUCUUGUACACAGAAGAGCAGCAGCUGCAAGCUCAGGAAUGAAACGGCCACACCGUGCACAGAAGACAGUGCCCCAUGAUGGAUUCUCCGUUUCUUCCUCAGACACCCACUGUGAAGAAACACUUGAGUGUCACUGGCCAUGAGAGUCAUCUGGAUUUCAGUGAUAACUGGAUCCUCCUCCUGUUCCCAAGGCUACCCAUCAAGUAGGUGUGUGGUAAGACCCAGGAUUCUGUUCUGAUAACAGGUGCCUGGGGGCUGGGACUCUGAUGUGCAAUCCACUGACGUAGGAUCCGUAAACAUCUUCCACUUAGAUCAGGUCGUCUCCGUCUUCCCCAGUGUCUGUGUGCCAGAUGUUGCUGGGGCUGCUCAGUCCUGCAAGGCUCUGACGCCAGCCUUCUAGUAGAAGAAAUGUGCAGCUGAAAGCCUCUCUUAGUCUCUUCACUGAUAGCCAAUGGAAUGCCCAUUUGAGCCAAUUUGGGGGAAGAGAUUAUUAGCAGAAAUGAGGUAAACACUAAAAGGCAAAAUGGAUCACCU